GACGUAGGGGGCCAGCGUUGCUCGGAAUUACUGGGUGUAAAGGGUUCGUAGGCGGUGUGGCAAGUCGGGAGUGAAAUCUCUGGGCUCAACCCAGAGUCUGCUUCCGAAACUGCUGUGCUUGAGUGUGGGAGAGGCGCGUGGAAUUGCAGGUGUAGCGGUGAAAUGCGUAGAUAUUGGAAAGAACACCGAUGGCGAAGGCACUCUACUGGGCUAUUACUGACACUCAGAGACGAAAGCUAGGGGAGCAAAUGGG
rnacentral:rRNA from 1 species